AUAGGUUGUAACGGCUAAGGAUUUAGAAUUUCUUAGGGUAUAGGAUUUAUCAUUUACGAUUUCUUAGUGUUUGGUUUAUUUAACGGUUUUUAGGGUUUAGGGUUUUGGCUUAAGAUUUUCUAGAAUUUUUUGGUUCAGAAUUUUAAAAGGUUUUUAUUUUAUUUCUAAUUAAGAAGACUUUCUAAGAACUUGGGGUUUUUACAGGGUUUCAAGUUUUCAAAAGUUUAGGAUUAAGGAUUUUCAAAUGUUUUUAGGUUUUGUUUUGGUCAUUUCUAAGUUUUAGGGUUUCGAUUUCACCAUCUGGGUUUAAGGUCUAGGUUUUCUAUUAAAAAGUUUUUAUCUUUAAAGGUUUAGGGCUUAAGGUUUUGUAAAAAAAUUUAGGUUGAGAGUUUUUUUACAUUUAGGGUUUUAAAAGGGGUUUUCAAGAUUUUUAUGAUUUUUUUACGAUUUUGGGGUUCAUGGGGUUCUGUUUCUUUUGGAUUAUAGGAGCUUAAGUUUUUGUAAGAUUUUUUUAGGUUAAGAGGUUUUUUUAUUUAGGUUUUUAAAGAUUUUUUAGGAUCAUUACUAUUUUUACGAUUUAGGAGUUCUUAAGGCUUAGAGAUUAGGGUUUUAUAUUAAUGAUUAUUGUUAGGGUUUUUACGAUUUGUUUUAAGGGUUCUUUGUUUGGGUUUUAAAGGUUUUUAUCGGGUUUUUGUGUUUGAUUUUUCUUAGGAUAUGGGGUUUCUUAGAGUUUAGGGUUGGAAGUUUAUCCUUAAGGUUUAGGGUUUAGGUUUGACAUGUAAGGUUUCCUAAGUUUUUUUAGGGUUUUUAGGUUGUAGGAUUAAGGGAUUAGGUUUGACAUGUCUAAGAUUAUUUAGAGGUUUUUAAGAUUUAAAGAGUUCUUAGGGUUUGGAGUUCCAUAGAGUUCACAAUUUUAAAACAAUUAUUUUUAGGUUAAAUUAUGGUGUAGGGCUUAAUGUUUAUUAGGUUAUUUAAAGUUAAGGUUUUAGGGUUUGUAAAAGGUUUUUUUCUGGACUUUCUAAAGGUUUCAUAGAGUUUAGGGUAUUAGAGUUUUUUAGGUAUAAGGUUUCUUAAGGUAUAUAUUUUAGGAUCUUAGGUUUUAGGAUAUUAGGGUUUAUAAGGGUUUAAGGUUUAGAGUUUUUUUUUGAAUUUACGAUUUAGUGUUUCUGCUUGUUUCUUAGCGUAUGUCAGGGUUUCUUGGUUGCUUCAGCGUUUAGAAAGAUUUUUGGGGUUUAAUUUUUUUUUUAAAGGUUUCUUUAUGUUUAGGGUUAAGGACAAAGGUUUAAUGUUUAGUAGGUAUAGGGUUUCGAGUUGUAGGUAAGAGGUUUUUUUAGGAUUUAUGGUCUUUUUUAGGUUUAUCAUUUUUAUGAUUGAGGUUUUUAAAUAUUUUAAGCGUCUCUUAGGUCUUUUUAUGAUUUUGGAUUUCUUAUGAUUUAGGGUUACGUAGGAUUUUAUGUUUAGGAUGUUGAUUUUAAAGUAAACUAUUGUGUGUGUAGUGGUAUUAUAGUUUUAGGAGUAUUAAAGGUAGGCUUAGGGUUUUAAAGAGAUUUAUUGUGUGUUUUGUGGUAUUAAAGGGUUUUAGGGUUGCAUUAGGUUAAGAGUUGAGGAUUUAGAGUUUCUUAAGAUAUACGAUUUUCUGUUUUGGAUUUCUUAGAGUUUAUAGCAUUUUGGGCAUGCUUAAGAUUUUCAAAGUUUUUCUAAGGUUUAGAUGAAUUUUUUGGUAUAGGUUUUAGAGGGUUUUUAGGAUCUUCAUAGUUUUUUACGAUUUAAGGGUUUAAGGUUAAGGGCUUUUAAAGGGGUUUAGGGGUUUUAUAGGGUUUAGGGUUUUACACUUGGCUUUUUAAAUGUUUAUAGUUUUUUUUAAUUCUGAAGAGUUAGAAGCCCUAAAGUUUAUGGUGAAGGGUUUAGGGUUUGUUAGGUAUAGAUUUUAGCAUUUAGGAUUCUUAGAAUCUAGGUUUUAUGUUUAGCGUUUUUUCCAGAAGGAAUAGGGUUUAAACUGUUUCUUAGGUUUUAGCCUUUAUGAUUUAAGGUUUUUAGAGGUUUUUGAUUUCUUGCGUUUUGGCUUUUAGAAGGUUUUUAAAAUUAGAUUGAGGUCACUUGUAAUCCUAGGUCCCUUGUUACGUCAACAAGGUAACCUUGGAGCGUGACAAAAACUAUUUCUGAAUAAAAAGUCUCUAACUACUAGAGAUGCUAGGACAUGCCCCCAGCUAACUCUAUCAAAACUAAAACUAAAAUGGAAAACUGAAUAUAAAAUAUGUCAAUCGUCCUCGAAGAAUGAGGACUUACCAUUGAUAUUGUUGAACACAAAUGGGGAGCUGAUCUCCAAGUGAUUUGAAUGUUGAGGACCUUACCUACAUCAGGAGAAGAGGUAGCGUAGAAUGUGUGUUAGUACUUGAAAGGUACCGAGCAUGCAUAAUAGGAUAAAGUUGAAAAAAUAUGUAUAACUCAACACAAAGCAUAUUGAACAAUGAUAAAAUGCGAACAUGAUGAAUAAGGGUUUAAGAAUUUGGUCAAGGGUUUUUAGGUUUAAGAUUUCUUAAGGAUUUUUUAGGUUAAGAGUUUAUGAAGUUCUUUUUUGUUGUUUUUAGGGUUCAGGUUUACUUAGUGUUUUUUUUUGUAUUUAGUGUUUGCUUAGGAUAAGGCUUUGGUUUUAAACGGUAAUAGAUCAGGGUUAAGAGUUUGGGUUUCUUUGGUUUUUAAGGGAUUAGGUUUUGUUAGUCACUUUUAGGGUUUAGUGCUAUUUAAAAUUAUCUUUUGGGUAAAUUAUGGUGUAGGGCUUAGUAUUUUUAAGUUUUUUUUAGGAUUUAGGGUUUAGGAUGUUUUAGGGUAUUAGCAUUUACGAUUUAGUGUUUCUUGAGUUUCUUAGCUUAUGUUAGGGUUUCUUGGUUAAAGGUUCAGGGCUUUGAACUUUAGGUUAAAAGAUUUUUUUUUACUUUUUCAGGGUUUAUGAUUUUUAUAAUUUUGUUUUAAAUGUUUUUGGGGUUGCUUAGAUCUUUUUAAGCUUUUAGAUUUCUAAAGAUUUACAGUACUUAGGAUUUUCUUUAAGGGCUUAGGAUUUUAAAUAGAUUUAUUGUGUUUUUCGGGGUAUUACAGUUCUAGGGAUUUAAUAGGGUUUUACGAUCUAGAUUUUCUUAGUGUUUCAUAAGGUGUGGCGUUUAGUAUUUAGCCUUAUAGUUUUGAGUAAAAGAUCUAUAGUUUCUUAAGGUAUAGGAUUUAACAUUUAAGAUUUCUCAGGGUUUGAUUUUUUAAGGGUUUUUAGGGUUGAAGAUUUCUAAGGUUUUUCAACGUUUAGAGGAAUCUUUAGGAUUAGGGUUUUUAGGAUUUUUUGAUUUUUUUAUGAUUAAAGGGUUCUUAUUUGAAUUUUUAUAAGGUUUUUAAAGAUUUAUAGUUUGAGGUUUUUAUUUUUUUUUAAGGUUUUUUAUUUCGUAAGCUUUAGGGUUUCCUUUUUUUAGCCUUAAGGAUUAGGGUGAAGGGUUAAAGGUUUCUUAGGAUUUAGAAUUUUUGGUCUAGGUUUUUUAUUAAGGGUUUUUUAAGGCUUAUGUUUUUGUAGAAUUUUUCAGGUUUCAAGUUUUUUUAGGUUCAUGUUUUCAAAGGUUUUUUCACGAUUUUUUACGAUUAUAGGGUUCUUAGGGUUUAGGAUUUUAUUAGAUUUAGGAUUUUUUUAGGGAGUAGGGAUUUUAAGAGUUCUUUAGA